rnacentral:rRNA from 1 species
GGCUACCACAUCCAAGGAAGGCUGCAGGCGCGCAAAUUACCCAAUCCCGACUCGGGGAGGUAGUGACAAGAAAUAACAAUACCGGGCUUUUGCAAGUCUGGUAAUUGGAAUGAGUACAAUCUAAAAUCCUUAACGAGGAUCAAUUGGAGGGCAAGUCUGGUGCCAGCAGCCGCGGUAAUUCCAGCUCCAGUAGCGUAUAUUAAAGUUGUUGCAGUUAAAAAGCUCGUAGUUGGAUUUCGGGCUAGGCCCCCCGGUCUCCCUUCGGGGCAGCACUGGGGCGGUCGGGCCUUUUGCCACAGGACUGCGUCUGCUCUUCACCGAGCGGGCGCCGGGCUGCGGCCGUUUACUUUGAGAAAAUUAGAGUGUUCAAAGCAGGCAUUAUGCACAUGAAUACUUCAGCAUUGAAUAAUGGAAUAGGACUGCGGUUCUAUUUUGUUGGUUUCUAGGACCGAAGUAAUGAUUAAUAGAGAUAGUUGGGGGCAUUAGUAUUUUCGUGUCAGAGGUGAAAUUCUUAGAUUACGGAAAGACUAACUUCUGCGAAAGCAUUUGCCAAGGAUGUUUUCAUUAAUCAAGAACGAAAGUUAGGGGAUCGAAAACGAUUAGAUACCGUUGUAGUCUUAACCAUAAACUAUGCCGACUAGGGAUUGGAGGAUGUUAUUUUUAUGACUUCUUCAGCACCUUAUGAGAAAUCAAAGUUUUUAGGCUCUGGGGGGAGUAUGGUCGCAAGGCUGAGACUUAAAGGAAUUGACGGAAGGGCACCACAAUGGCGUGGAGCCUGCGGCUUAAUUUGACCCAACACGGGGAACCUUUCCAGGUUAGGAUAUCGUAAGGAUUGACAGAUUGAGAGCUCUUUCUUGAUUCGAUAAGUGGUGGUGCAUGGCCGUUCUUAGUUGGUGGAGCGAUUUGUCUGCUUAAUUGCGAUAACGAACGAGACCUUCACCUACUAAAUACGCUACACGAAUCCCGUAUUCGUGGGCAGCUUCUUAGAGGGACUAUGCGAGUCAAUCGCAUGGAAGCUGGAGGCAAUAACAGGUCCGUGAUGCCCUUAGAUAUCCUGGGCCGCACGCGCGCUACACUGACGCGGUCAACGAGCUUCGCUUCACCGAAGGGUGCGGCAAAUCUUUUCAAACCGCGUCGUGCUGGGGAUAGAUCUUUGCAAUUAUCGGUCUUCAACGAGGAAUGCCUAGUAAGUGCGGGUCAUCAACUCGCGCUGAUUACGUCCCUGCCCUUUGUACACACCGCCCGUCGCUCCUACCGAUUGAAUGACCCGGUGAAGAUAACCGAUUGCCGUGUCUUGGACUGGUUCGCCAGCCAGCUCGGCGAGACGUUCUUUAAACCUUGCCAUUUAGAGGAAGGAGAAGUCGUAACAAGGUC